UACGUAGGGGGCAAGCGUUGUCCGGAAUCAUUGGGCGUAAAGAGCGUGUAGGCGGCCCGGUAAGUCCGCUGUGAAAGUCCAGGGCUCAACCCUGGGAUGCCGGUGGAUACUGUCGGGCUCGAGUCCGGAAGAGGAGUGUGGAAUUCCUGGUGUAGCGGUGAAAUGCGUAGAUAAUCGUAAGGAAGACCAGUGGCGAAGGCGGGUCUCUGGACAGUUCCUGACGCUGAGGCACGAAGGCCAGGGGAGCAAACGGG
rnacentral:rRNA from 1 species